CCGAGCUGCGGCAGCGUGAGAGCGGCUGUUUGUAUCUGAAGCUGCUGCAGCGCUACUGAUUCAUUGUCUGGAUAAUAGUGUUGCAGCUCCCCCCGGGGGAGUGUCUCCCCGCCCACAGCGCCCCCCUGUGGAGGGAGGCUGCAGGAAUGACUGAGCAGUGGCAGAAAGUACUGUAUUUAGGUACACAUUUAAGAUACUCCCCUUGAAAACUGAUCACAGCAAUGCCUGUCAUAAAGAACUAUCUUCACCUACAAGAAAGAGUCUUGCAACAGAUGGUAAGACCCCCCAUGGAACCUUGAUCUCAACAUCAUGGAGUCAUUCUGGGAUUACAUGAAGAGACAGAAUCAUCCAACACGCCUAAAUCCACAUAAGAACUGA